rnacentral:rRNA from 1 species
AGAACGAACGCUGGCGGCAUGCCUCAUACAUGCAAGUCGAACGAAGGCUUCGGCCUUAGUGGCGCACGGGUGAGUAGCGCGUGGGAACCUACCCUUUUGUGGGGGAUAACCGAGGGAAACUUCGGCUAAUACCGCAUACGCCGGGUAACCGGGAAAGAUUUAUCGCAGAAGGAUGGGCCCGCGUCGGAUUAGCUAGUUGGUGGGGUAACGGCCUACCAAGGCUAUGAUCCGUAGCUGGUCUGAGAGGAUGAUCAGCCACACUGGGACUGAGACACGGCCCAGACUCCUACGGGAGGCAGCAGUAGGGAAUAUUGGACAAUGGGCGAAAGCCUGAUCCAGCAAUGCCGCGUGAGUGAGGAAGGCCUUAGGGUUGUAAAGCCCUUUCGGCGGGGAAGAUAAUGACGGUACCCGCAGAAGAAGCCCGGCUAACUUCGUGCCAGCAGCCGC